UACGUAGGCAGCGAGCGUUGUUCGGAAUUAUUGGGCGUAAAGCGCGCGCAGGCGGUCCUUUAAGUCUGAUGUGAAAGCCCACGGCUCAACCGUGGAGGGUCAUUGGAAACUGGGGGACUUGAGUACAGAAGAGGAAAGCGGAAUUCCACGUGUAGCGGUGAAGUGCGUAGAGAUGUGGAGGAACACCAGUGGCGAAGGCGGCUUUCUGGUCUGUAACUGACGCUGAGGCGCGAAAGCGUGGGGAGCAAACAGG
rnacentral:rRNA from 1 species